ensembl:lncRNA
GCCCCCUGCCCCGUGCCAUCAUGGUGGCGGCUCGCCUCCGCCGAGCGGCCCGGCCCGGCCCGGCCCCACAACAUCCACGCAGCGGUGUGCGAUUCGCCCUGCCCGGGCUGACACUGGGUCACGGGGAGAGCGCAGGGCAGUGCUAACUCAAGUGAUAGCAAAUAAUUGUGUUGCAGUUUGAUACAUUGGCUAAACAUGCUCCUGUGAAUGGCAAAAAAUAUGCAGCCUUCUUCCUCUUCACUCAGUGCGGCACUGAGAAGACAAAAGUGCCUAGUUCAUAUGCACAUGAUGUCACUGUCCUGUUGAUGCAGAGGGAAGCCUGCUCAUUAGAGAGAGGAUAGAAUGUGAAGACUCCAUGGCUGACCAAAGUUUCCCCUGCUGCAGAAGAGGAAACAGAGGUCGUCCUUCAUUCACCAGCAGUCUCAUCAAGAAGUGAGCUGCAUUGAGCACAUAUUCCAGAAGAAGAAAUUGAAACGGUUGCAGAAGUCCCAUUGCUUUUCAUCACACUUUACAUCCAGAAAAGUUCCAUAAUUUGGUGACAUGAGCAGUUGAAAAUGUUGUUUGGGUCAUGUUAUAUUUAACACAACUGCAGUUAGCAUCAUCAGCAAAUUGGCAGGCCAUUUUGCCCCACAUUAGCAUCCCUGAGGAUGCUAACCGAAUUAUACUGGCUGGAUUCCUAUCUGAAAUAGUUUUUCCCUUUUUUUUUCCUCAUCUAUACUCUAUUGUAAAUUGAAUAACAGCCUAAUGGUUUGUCAGGUCACACUGUCCUGCCACAAGAGACAUUGAAUGUUGAUUUACAUUCCACAUUGACAGCAUCAUGACAGAAAGCUUGCCAUCUUGUCUUUCUAAAAAUGUCUGCAAAAUUCAUGGCUCAGUUUGUUUGUUUUUUAUGUGAUUUUAUCCAAUUACUUUGAGCUUUUCCUCCUGCUCCAGAAAAGACAACAUUUUGAUAAUGCCUCUUUGUUCUUGGGUUUUGUUGAAUUCAGCAUCUUUCUACAAGGCCCAGUUUAGUUCAUUGGAAAAUUGAUGGACGUGCUCCCAUUUCUAUUGAUUGUUAUAGAGGAUGGGCUAGAGCCAUAUACAAAUAAAUAAAUAAAUAAAUAAAUUCCUGUCAGCCUUAAUGGAACAGGCUGUUAAGAGGUCAGCUCCAUUUUGUCGCCCCAGAAUCCCAGAAAUGGUAACAUGAACUGUGCAUUUAACAGUUGUGAAUGUGUUCUUCUACCCCUUCCUCAUCAUGAAAAACUUGCUUAAGACUAUCAUACUUAUUUGAACCAUGCUUUCAAUGUGCAUUUAACUAAGUUGUUAUCAGAGUUACUAACUCAAACUUCACUAAAAAGCCAUUGUGCUACUCUUCACUCUCCUGACAUGAUGCAUGGAUUAGGAUUUCACAGUCCUUGCUGAAGGCAGGUGUUAGGUUCUCAUUUCCAAAACCUUUCCUAAUGAUCCCAGUAACUUUAACACAACUAUCUUGUUGUAAUGGAUACGGGUAUGAAAACUGUACUGGAGAAAUACAGAAAUAAGUAGGAUGCAUUGAACACUACAAGUAGUUGUUCCUAUAAAAUCUAUUCAACAUUUUUAAAGCUUUUAAAGUAUUAUCUUUUAUUUAUCUUAUUGCUUCCCUGUAAUUUACUAUAAACUCCUUCUUCUGAUUUGUUAACUUUGAGUCUACUUGCGCUCAGAACACCCAGAGCUUGCAAUCCUUCAAAAUAAUCUAAUUUUAGAAUUCUUUCUCAUUGACCAAGCUGUAAAACAUCUAUGGAUAUUAGAUACUACAAAGCAAGCAGAACAAGGUAUUAUCUGUGGUAGGUUCUCAUUUUACAAGCUGAAGAGCUGCUUUAAAGAAAAAGGAAAAAAUGACAGGUUCUUUUCACUCCUUCUUUAUAACAUUUUCCUGCUGGGAUUUUUUUUAACUUGCUAUAAGUGAUAUCUCAUGACAUUUCACUUAGAAAAGUUUUUCAACUCUAACUUUUAGUUCCAAACCAAAUGCAGUUUCUUUGUUUUGUAGCAGUUCUGUAUCAGCAGCAGGAAAACACUACUGUAUUUUUCCCUUCUCUCUUCCUGUUAUAGUCCAAGUGGCCUACAGCUGAAUUACCAUGCUCUAAUGAACAUCAGGGCAAGAAAUGAGUCACUGUUUUUAAUUGCCUCUUGUUACUGAAAAAAAAAUCUUAUUCAGAAAGAAAUUUAACUCAGGCAGGAUAAACCCAUCUGAAAGUUGUUUUUUUAAGUUUUCUUGUCGCUUUCCUCUUAGGGAUAAGGUAGUCCCUGUGGUUCUGGAGCAUAAUCUUGUGCUGCUAGUGAAGUGAUUAUUCACUUGCAAUAUUAAAAGGGCCAGUUGGAUCAUUAGUUACCAAGAGUGUAACUGUUCAGUUUACUGGGUCAUAAGCUCAGUGGGUCAUAAAACUAAACAAAUUAUUCAUGUUAACAAAACCAGAGGCAACUAUGUAGAGAAGCAAAUGAUUUUCCUAAAUGAUUGAGCCUAACAUUACAGAAGCCAAGCUGUUUAAUUCCCAUUCAAAGACUACAUGACUCUAACACAAAUAACAACAAUCAGAGCCACACUAAAAAGAAGCAGAUAAAUAAACAAGCAAGUGACUUUAAGCAGAAAAGAACUCAAGCCACUAUUAUUCCUGGGGACAAUGCUAUGAUCUCACAGGAAAGCUGAUAUCCUGAUCAGAGAAAAAGCAGCAAGGGAGGCCAUGAAGGAAAUUCAUCACAUGGUUGUGAUACCAUCUGCUAAAGGGCUCCUCUAAAUCGAAGUGUAAUGGAGUAUUACACAUUUAAGGCAUCCUCCCAGCCUCAGAUGUCUUUAUAUUUCAGUCUGCCAUUCUUAAUACCAAACUAGCUCUUAAAAAACAAUGAAAAUAACAGUUAUGCAUCUGUUAAAAAGCAUGUGUAUUCACCGCUGCCAUUACAGGACUUGUCUCCAUCCAGACCAAACAAAAGAACAUAUUUAAUGACUCAGCAUGGUGAUUAUAUCAAUCAGGAAAAAAAUUGGAAGAGUGAAAAGAAACUGUUUGACCCUCCCACACUGCAGGUGAUUUCCAAACCAACAGACCAAGGGACUAGGAAAUUAAGCACAACAAGGAGCUUGCCUGAAACUCAGGAUUGCAGUAGAUGUAUGAGGUACCUUCAUGCUGCCGUUAAUAAUACCACUGCAGAGGCUGAUUCACAGAACAAGCACAAAGUUUCACAUUGCUCUGAUGGAUGAUAAGAGGAAGGACAGGAGGUUGGACUUUUCUACUGGUUUGAUGGGGUAGAAUGAAACCUGUAAAUUGUAAGACAUUAAUGUCUGAGCUAGGAGGUUUCAGUUAAUCACUGCCUUCUUUAUCUUUGGAUUCUGUGCCUGAUUUCAGUCAUUAAUAUCUUUCCAACCAUAAAGGUAACUUUAUCACUGUACAA